UUUUCCAGCCUGCAUAGCGGAUGGGUCAGGCAGGGAUCAGAUCCAUCCUGAGAUUGCUUAUGGGCGGAGUGAGGUGGGGCACACCAUGUCUGAGCUGCUCUCCCUACUCCUGGCAACACACUGCUCAGUGCUCCCAUAUGGACCCAGGUGUGGGGUGAAGGGGACAGCAGGUGACCACAGGACCCAGGGCCUGCAGCCACCAAGCAGGAUGCAGGGGCUCUGCUAGGAAGUGCUGUCUGUGGGCCCACCUCUGACCCAGCUCGAGGACACUUGAGCUAUUCUACAGUUUUCCUCCAGCUCUUUCAGACUCCAGGGAGAAGCUGACCCCAAGCAGUAGAGGUGGAAAAUCAAAUCUAUGAGAAAUGUUUCGGUGGCAGCAGGGGCCAUGGCUGACUAGGAGUGUUUGGGAACAGCCUUUGGGCUUUUUCCAUUAGAACAGGGUAUUCUUGAGUCUCAUGUUCUGCAAAUGGC